AGUGAACGCUGGCGGCGUGCUUAACACAUGCAAGUCGAACGCACGAGAUCGGUGCUUGCACUGAUCGAGUGAGUGGCAGACGGAUGAGUAAUACAUGGGAAUCUACCUUAUAGUACGGAACAACCAUUGGAAACGGUGGCUAAUGCCGUAUAUUGCCGAGAGGUGAAAGAUUUAUCGCUGUAAGAUGAGCCCAUGCGGGAUUAGCUAGUUGGUAAGGUAAUGGCUUACCAAGGCAAUGAUCUCUAGUUGGUCUGAGAGGAUGAUCAGCCAUACUGGAACUGAGACACGGUCCAGACUCCUACGGGAGGCAGCAGUGGGGAAUAUUGGACAAUAGGCGAAAGCCCGAUCCAGCAACGCCGCGUGAAUGGUAAGGCCUUAGGGUUGUAAAGUUCUUUAGUGGGAAAUUAUGAUGGUACCACAGAAAAGACCCGGCUAACUUCGUGCCAGCAGCCGCGGU
rnacentral:rRNA from 1 species